rnacentral:rRNA from 1 species
GAUGAACGCUAGCGGGAGGCCUAACAUAUGCAAGCCGAGCGGUAGAGUUUCUUCGGAAACUUGAGAGCGGCGCACGGGUGCGUAACACGUGUGCAACCUACCUUUAUCUGGGGGAUAGCCUUUCGAAAGGAAGAUUAAUACCCCAUAAUAUAAUGAUUGGCAUCAAUUAUUAUUGAAAACUCCGGUGGAUAGAGAUGGGCACGCGCAAGAUUAGAUAGUUGGUGAGGUAACGGCUCACCAAGUCAAUGAUCUUUAGGGGUCCUGAGAGGGAGAUCCCCCACACUGGUACUGAGACACGGACCAGACUCCUACGGGAGGCAGCAGUGAGGAAUAUUGGACAAUGGGUGAGAGCCUGAUCCAGCCAUCCCGCGUGAAGGAUGACGGUCCUAUGGAUUGUAAACUUCUUUUGUACAGGGAUAAACCUACCCUCGUGAGGGUAGCUGAAGGUACUGUACGAAUAAGCACCGGCUAACUCCGUG